UAAGCACACAUUUGUAUAGAGUUGGAACGUUUGCUUACGUUUCCGCUAGGGGCGCUGUUCCAACUGCAUACAAAAUUGGGUUG
rnacentral:pre_miRNA from 1 species